rnacentral:rRNA from 1 species
CUAGAGAUUUGAUCCUGGCUCAGGAUGAACGCUGGCGGUAUGCUUAACACAUGCAAGUCGAACGGUCUUUUCGGAGAUAGUGGCGGACGGGUGAGUAACGCGUAAGAAUCUACCUUCAGGUUGGGGACAACCAGUGGAAACGGUGGCUAAUACCCGAUGUGCCGAGAGGUGAAAGGCUUGCUGCCUGAAGAAGAGCUUGCGUCUGAUUAGCUAGUUGGUGGGGUAAGAGCCUACCAAGGCGACGAUCAGUAGCUGGUCUGAGAGGAUGAUCAGCCACACUGGGACUGAGACACGGCCCAGACUCCUACGGGAGGCAGCAGUGGGGAAUUUUCCGCAAUGGGCGAAAGCCUGACGGAGCAAUACCGCGUGAGGGAGGAAGGCUCUUGGGUUGUAAACCUCUUUUCUCAGGGAAGAAAAAAAUGACGGUACCUGAGGAAUAAGCAUCGGCUAACUCCGUGCCAGCAGCCGCGGUAAUACGGAGGAUGCAAGCGUUAUCCGGAAUGAUUGGGCGUAAAGGGUCCGCAGGUGGCAUUGUAAGUCUGCUGUUAAAGAGUUUGGCUCAACCAAAUAAAAGCAGUGGAAACUACAAAGCUAGAGUGUGGUCGGGGCAGAGGGAAUUCCUGGUGUAGCGGUGAAAUGCGUAGAUAUCAGGAAGAACACCGGUGGCGAAGGCGCUCUGCUAGGCCAAGACUGACACUGAGGGACGAAAGCUAGGGGAGCGAAUGGGAUUAGAUACCCCAGUAGUCCUAGCCGUAAACGAUGGAUACUAGGCGUAGCUCGUAUCGACCCGAGCUGUGCCGUAGCUAACGCGUUAAGUAUCCCGCCUGGGGAGUACGCAGGCAACUGUGAAACUCAAAGGAAUUGACGGGGGCCCGCACAAGCGGUGGAGUAUGUGGUUUAAUUCGAUGCAACGCGAAGAACCUUACCAAGGCUUGACAUGUCACGAAUUCCGUUGAAAGAUGGAAGUGCCUUCGGGAGCGUGAACACAGGUGGUGCAUGGCUGUCGUCAGCUCGUGUCGCGAGAUGUUGGGUUAAGUCCCGCAACGAGCGCAACCCUCGUUUUUAGUUGCCAGCAUUAAGUUGGGCACUCUAGAGAGACUGCCGGUGACAAACCGGAGGAAGGUGGGGAUGACGUCAAGUCAGCAUGCCCCUUACGUCUUGGGCUACACACGUACUACAAUGCUACGGACAAAGGGCAGCUACACAGCGAUGUGAUGCGAAUCUCAUAAACCGUAGCUCAGUUCAGAUCGAAGGCUGCAACUCGCCUUCGUGAAGGAGGAAUCGCUAGUAAUUGCAGGUCAGCAUACUGCAGUGAAUUCGUUCCCGGGCCUUGUACACACCGCCCGUCACACCAUGGAAGUUGGUCACGCCCGAAGUCGUUACCCCAACCGCAAGGAGGGGGAUG